GAAGGGGUGCAAGCGUUGUUCGGAUUAUUGGGCGUAAAGCGUACGCAGGCGGGAUGGGGAAAGUCAGAUGUGAAAUCUCGGGGCUCAACCCCGAAACUGCGUCUGAAACUUCUUAUCUAGAAUCUUGGAGGGGGAAGGGGAAUUUCGCAUGUAGGGGUAAAAUCCGUAGAGAUGCGAAGGAACACCAGAGGCGUAGGCGCCUUCCUGGACAAGUAUUGACGCUGAGGUACGAAAGCGUGGGGAGCAAACAGGAUUAGAUACCCUGGUAGUCCACGCCGUAAACGAUGUGCACUAGAUAUUGCGGGAAUUGACCCCUGCAGUGUCGUAGCUAACGCGUUAAGUGCACCGCCUGGGGAGUACGAUCGCAAGAUUA
rnacentral:rRNA from 1 species